UACGUAUGUGGCAAGCGUUAUCCGGAUUUAUUGGGCGUAAAGGGAACGCAGGCGGUCUUUUAAGUCUGAUGUGAAAGCCUUCGGCUUAACCGGAGUAGUGCAUUGGAAACUGGGAGACUUGAGUGCAGAAGAGGAGAGUGGAACUCCAUGUGUAGCGGUGAAAUGCGUAGAUAUAUGGAAGAACACCAGUGGCGAAAGCGGCUCUCUGGUCUGUAACUGACGCUGAGGUUCGAAAGCGUGGGUAGCAAACAGG
rnacentral:rRNA from 1 species